rnacentral:rRNA from 1 species
AGGGUGCAAGCGUUAUCGGAAUUACUGGGCGUAAAGCGUGCGUAGGCGGUUUURUAAGUCAGAUGUGAAAUCCCSGGGCUCAACCUGGGAACUGCCUUUGAUACUGNANRGCUWGAGURYGGKAGAGGGGGRUGGAAUUCCGGUGUAGCGGUGAAAUGCGUAGAUAUUAGGAGGAACACCGAUGGCGAAGGCAAUCCCCUGGACCUACUGACGCUGAUGCACGAAAGCGUGGGGAGCAAACA